GCCCGGGUGGCGAAAUUGGUAGACGCACCGCCUUGAGGUGGCGACGUUCGAAAGGACAUGCUGGUUCAAGUCCAGUCCCGGGCACCA
rnacentral:tRNA from 1 species